rnacentral:lncRNA from 1 species
GUAAGCAUAAUGUGAUGAAUUGGUGGAGGAGGCUAGCUUUGCGGAUUUUGGCCUGUGCUUCCCACCGUUGAUUCCUCUCGUGCGGAAUUCCUCGUUGGGGCUUUAUUUUUAUUUUUUAAAAAUGUAAAAGAAAAAAAAUUAUGUUGUAAAAAAAAUAAAAGGAAAGAAAUACUCCUUUGGACCUUUAUUUUUAUUUUUUAAAAAAAGAAAAGAAAAAAAGUCAUGUUGUAAAAAAAUUAAGAGGAAAAAAUAAAAAAGAGAAGAAAAAAAUAUGAUGUAAAAAAAAUAAAAGGAAAAAAAUAAAAAUAAUAGGUAAUACAUCAAAUAUUUUUGGUAAAAAAAAUAAUACAUAUUUUUAUUUUUCUUGUCAAAAAAAAGAGAGUAAUAUAACGUAUUUCUUGUCAAAAAUCAAAUAAAAGAUAAUACAAAAAAAAUUAAAUGUAGUACAUCUUCUUAAUUUAUUUUUCAAAACACAAAAUAAAAAGUAAUACAACAAGUAUCAUAUUUUUCUUAGCAAAAAAACAAAGAUAAUACGACAAAUAUUUACUGUAAAAAAAAUAAAAGACAUUUAUGAAUACAACAAGUAUUUCUUAAUACGCACCUAGGAAUAAAUGAUGUAAUAUUAAAGUUAGUUAGGUUGUAAUAAUACACCCUAGGGCACCGAUCCGUUUUUUAAAUCACUGGUUUAUUCCAUCGAUAGUGUGGUCGUUUCUUGAUGUUUUUCAAUUAUUUCUUCACUGCAUCACACUGAGCAUGCCGUCAUGAUCGCGUGGCAACAAACGCAGCUUGAUUUCGUGUCCGGACGAGAAUUUUGCAACGUGGG